UCCCUGGUGGCUCAGACGGUAAAGCGUCUGCCUACAAUGCAGGAGACCAGGGUUCAAUCCCUGGGUUGGGAA
rnacentral:tRNA from 1 species